rnacentral:rRNA from 1 species
CCUACGGGAGGCAGCAGUGGGGGAUAUUGCACAAUGGGGGAAACCCUGAUGCAGCGACGCCGCGUGGGUGAAGAAGCGCCUCGGCGCGUAAAGCCCUGUCAGCAGGGAAGAAAAUGACGGUACCUGAAGAAGAAGCCCCGGCUAACUACGUGCCAGCAGCCGCGGUAAUACGUAGGGGGCCAGCGUUAUCCGGAUUUUCUGGGUGUAAAGGGGGCGCAGACGGCGCUGCAAGCCAGGAGUGAAAGCCCGGGGCCCAACCCCGGGACUGCUCUUGGAACUGCGUGGCUAGAGUGCAGGAGGGGCAGGCGGAAUUCCUGGUGUAGCGGUGAAAUGCGUAGAUAUCAGGAGGAACACCGGUGGCGAAGGCAGCCUGCUGGACUGCAACUGACGUUGAGGCCCGAAAGCGUGGGGAGCAAACAGGAUUAGAUACCCGGGUAGUC